GCCAACUCAACGGGGUGCCCUCCUAGACACAGGGCUGAGACCAGACCCGCGGAACCUGAUCCGGAUUAUGCCGGCGAAGGGAUUGAGUGCUCACCAAGG
rnacentral:ncRNA from 1 species